GAUGAAGAACGCAGCGAAUUGCGAUAUGUAAUGUGAAUUGCAGAUUUUCAGUGAAUCAUCGAAUCUUUGAACGCACCUUGCACCCUUUGGCAUUCUGAAGGGUAUGCUCGUUUGAGUGUCAUUGUACUCUCACACUCCCGAUCUUUGCAUUGGGAGCAGUGGACUUGGGUUUGCUGCUUCACCGUCGCUUACCUCAAAUAGGUUAGUGCAACUCUUGGUUGGACAUAGUACGGCGUGAUAAGUGUUCUUCGCCGGUGCCUCGCAAAGAGGGUGGCCGAUCGGGAUGUUGUGCUCCAAACCGUCUUCGGACAAUCUCUGACGACUUGACCUCAAAUCGAGUAAGACUACCCGCUGAACUUAAGCAUAUCAAUAAGCGGAGGA
rnacentral:misc_RNA from 1 species